GUAAAUCUAAGAAUGGUUAACUACUAUCCUACUUGCUAAAUUAAUUUAAUUGUAGUGUGGUUUCCAAAUUUUGAGAUUGUAAUAUAUUUUAAUAAUCUGUUUGACUUUUGUAAAUGCAAACACAAUUAUAUGACAUGUUUAACACCAAGAUUACAUUCUCCAAAAACUGAAACAUAAUUUUGAAGAUUAGCAAAGUAUUUAAAAUAAUAACAGGGUUCUUCGUGUAAAUGUUAACUAUCACUAUUUUAAGGUGAAUUUUAAAAUUUUGGCCAAAUGUGCUUGACUGAAAACAAUUUUCCACACCAACUAUGCUUUCAGUUCUGCUGUUUUGGCCUAUAUUUUGAAAUUCACUUGCAUUAAUUGAUAACAAUUGGUAAUUUACUGGGUAACCUUGUAAUUAUGUGUUCCCUUCUAAUAUUCAACUUUAAAAAUAACUUUCAAAAGAAAUUUACUUCAAAGCAGCUACUCCAAAAUUACCAGUACAGUAGAUAUGAGACAUGUGCAAAUGUUCUUUUUGGAUGAUUCAACCAAAUUAAAUGCCUUUUAAAUCACACUAUUAGUAGUGUAGUAGUAGAAUUAGCUACUGAACCUUGUCACCAGUUUUUUUAAAAUUUUCACAGUGCAUGGAAUUUAGCAAAUAGCCUAAUGACAUUGUAAUGUUUUAAUUAAAGAUAAUAUUUUAAUUGCAAAAAUAUUCAAUCCGAUUGAAUAAUUAGUGGGUUACCUAUUUACUUAUAUGAAAGUCUAAAUAUUUCAAAAAUGAG